rnacentral:rRNA from 1 species
GACGAACGCUGGCGGCGUGCCUAAUACAUGCAAGUCGAGCGGACGAAUCGAAAGCUUGCUUUUGUUUCGUUAGCGGCGGACGGGUGAGUAACACGUGGGCAACCUGCCUUGUAGACGGGGAUAACACCGAGAAAUCGGUGCUAAUACCGGAUAACACGUUAUGUCGCAUGACGUUUCGUUGAAAGACGGCGCAGGCUGCCGUUACAGGAUGGGCCCGCGGCGACUUAGGUGGUUGGUGAGGUAACGGCUACCCAAGGAGACGAUAGGUAGCCGACCUGAGGGGGUGACCCGCCACACUGGGACGUGGACACGGCCCAGGACCCUACGGGAGGGAACAAGAGGGAAACCUCCGGAAUGGACGAAAGUCUUACGGAGCAACGCCGCGGUGGCGAAGAAGGCCUUCCGGUCGGAAAACUCCGUUGAUAGGGAAGAACAAGUAACGCAGUAACUGGCGUUAGCGUGACGGUACCUAACGAGAAAGCCACGGCUAACUACGUG